AAUGAAGCGCCAUGGAGGGUGAGAGCCCCGUCCAUCCCGCACAGGAUCCAUUCGUACAAGGACGCUUCAACCGAGUCGGGUAGCUUGGGAAUGCUGCUCUAAUUGGUGGUAAAUCUCAUCAAAGGCUAAAUAGUGGUGGGAGACCGAUAGCGAACAAGUACCGUGAGGGAAAGAUGGAAAGAACUUUGAAAAGAGAGUGAAAAGCACUUGAAACCGUCACGGGGGAAGCGGAUUGCGUGAGUGAUGGUGUCGCUUGUUCAGCGCUUUAUUGCGUGCAUUCUGGCGGCGCCGUGCCGGCGUGGCUGGCUGGACUGUGAUUUUGACAGUCUCGGCUGGUGAGGGCUCCCUCGUAUGAGGUGAGGACGCGGGCAAAAUGACGCAAUACGACCCGUCUUGAAACACGGACCAAGGAGUCUAGCACGGCUGCGAGUCGAAGAGUGAUUAAACUCAAGGGCGCAGUGAAAGCGAAAUUAUAAGCAAAUUGGGGAGGCGUUGCGUUUUUAACAAAAUGUCCUACCUCGAGCAUUUGUGCUGGGACCCGAAAGAUGGUGAACUAUGCCGGAGUAGGGCAAAGCCAGAGGAAACUCUGGUGGAGGCUCGUAGCGAUGCUGACGUGCAAAUCGCUCGUCGAACUUGGGUAUAGGGGCGAAAGACUAAUCGAACCAUCUAGUAGCUGGUUCCCUCCGAAGUUUCUCUCAGGAUAGCGGGCCGACACGCGUUUGUUGUUUUGUGCGGUAAAGCGAAUGAUUAGUGCAUUUGGGGUACGAAGUACUUCGGGCGAUUCUCAAACUUUAAAUGCGCAAGGGGGUGGCUGCUUAAUUGAGCCUACUCUUUGAAAAACGUCGGCCCUGUGGGCCACUUUUGGUAAGCAGAACUGGCGAUA
rnacentral:rRNA from 1 species